ACGAGGCCAGGCCUACAGUGCAAGAACGCCCUACAUCGUAGGCAACUCCAAAGUAGGUCUGUUACAAGAUGAAGUUCUCAACAGUUGGCAGUCAAGUUUGGGAGAAGAGCCUAUCAGCAUCUAAACUUCUCCUGCCUUUCCAGCCCUGACUUCACUCAAAGUCCUCACGGUGGUCAGGUGACCUGUACUAGAGAAGCCUCCUUUGAAGUCUGGCACAAAGACAGAAGUGUCAUCUCCCCUGGCUCAAGCCUGAAGUGAUCUUGUUUGGUUUUUGUUUGUUUUGUUUUUUAAAAAAGGUCAAUGCAAAAUAUGACCAAGUAUUUCAAACUACAACUGAAGAAAAUCUCAGUCAAUACAACAUUAUUAGUUAUUUUUAAUUAACAUCAAAAGGGCUUUCUAAAAGCAGCUCUAAAGAGACAUUCUUACCUUUCCAGAGCAGCAGAAGAGGAUCACAAGAAACACUGGCAAAGCUACAGUCAGAAUGUAGACCACCCAGAGCCACGGACGCUCUUCAGCUGCUUCCAGCAUCUGCCCCACUACACCUGGCUGAAAAACAAAACAAUAAUUCUGAGAACUGGCUUCUGUCACCAAAUACAGGAUACACUGAUUUUUCCAUCAUUACUCAAAGCAUGGUGCAACCUAAGUUCCUUGUUUUUCAAAAAAGGAGUUAAACUAAGAUGCACAGAUGAAAAGUAGGAAAAGGGCCCUAUUUCAUUUUCCUGCUCCUACCAUUAUGAAGUUUCACCUUCAUAGGUGCAGCAAAAGGUAGUUUGGAAUAACUGCAAAGAAGGUCCCUUACUCAGGACACAGAGAUGAAGAAUGUAACGUCUUCAUCCCAACUCUGCUCCUUCAAGUCCCAGCUCAGCUAUACCAUAAGUCAUUUGAAAACUCCAUACCAGGGAUAAACUAAGAUUCAGCAUUUUUAGUACAUUAAAACAUACUUCAAUGGUAAACACACACACACACACACACACACACACACACACACGCACGCACACACACGCAAGCACGUGGUGCGCAUACACAUAAGACACUAAAGCCAGAAUAUGAGACUAAUAGAACACUUGUUAACGUUUAGCUACUUUUCACAAAGCAAUCAGUUCCCAAAAGCAGAUAUAAAUGCACAGUAAUGAACAAUCACUAACCUCGGCAGCCCCAUCAGCAGCUUUCUUCAGGCCCCACCCAUCAUUGGCCCAAUCAUCAACCACCCUUCGGUCACCACUAAUGAUAAAGUUGUCAAAAAAAAUGUCUGAAGUCAUGGACCAGAGCUCCAAACCAAUAGCACUGAAAGGAGUCAUCUUAAAAGGUUCUAGGUCUUCAAAGAAAUCUGGAUUUGGUAUUUU